AUGGAGAAGGAGAAACUGUACAUGGAACUGAAGCACAUCUUGGCACGGCAGCCUGGCCCCGAGGCUGCAGAACAGCUGCAGAUCUAUCGGCACACCCUGCGGGAGAAGACCAAGCAGCUGAAGGUUUUGUCUUCAGAAUUGAAUAUGUAUGAAUCACAGAGCCAAGAAUAUAAGUAUGAGAUCGAGAAACUUGGCAACGAACUGAUAAAUGUAAAGAAGAAAUACCUUGCUCAGAAACGUAAAGAGCUUAUUCAAAAGAACAAAGACAAACUACCCAUAGAUAACACCUUGAUCGCCAAACCUCCUGGCCCUCAUUUUAUUGGGGGUGGAUUUCCCCUCACCAAGACACCCAAGGCAUUUAGAAGGGACUGCUCAGUGACUUUUGGAGACUUUGGCCAAGAUUUUGCUGAGGAGUGGAGAUGGGAGGGGAACUCACCGAUCCCUGUGAGGCACUUGGAAAAUAUAAGCAGAUACUUAAGCCACAGCUGGGCAAGUUUUGUAGGUUUGGAAUUUCAGCUUUUUCCACGGGCCAGGCAUUGAGAUUCUGGGGAAUGGACUGGAUAAGACCGAACAGGACUCUGCUCCAGGGGGU
rnacentral:lncRNA from 1 species